CACGUAGGGGGCAAGCGUUGUCCGGAUUUAUUGGGCGUAAAGAGCUCGUAGGCGGUUCGGUAAGUCGGGUGUGAAACCUCCAGGCUCAACCUGGAGACGCCACCCGAUACUGCUGUGACUAGAGUCCGGUAGGGGAGCGUGGAAUUCCUGGUGUAGCGGUGAAAUGCGCAGAUAUCAGGAGGAACACCAGCGGCGAAGGCGGCGCUCUGGGCCGGAACUGACGCUGAGGAGCGAAAGCGUGAGGAGCAAACAGG
rnacentral:rRNA from 1 species